rnacentral:rRNA from 1 species
AGUGAACGCUGGCGGUAGGCCUAACACAUGCAAGUCGAACGGCAGCACAGUAAGAGCUUGCUCUUACGGGUGGCGAGUGGCGGACGGGUGAGGAGUACAUCGGAAUCUACUUUUUCGUGGGGGAUAACGUAGGGAAACUUACGCUAAUACCGCAUACGACCUACGGGUGAAAGCAGGGGAUCUUCGGACCUUGCGCGAUUGAAUGAGCCGAUGUCGGAUUAGCUAGUUGGCGGGGUAAAGGCCCACCAAGGCGACGAUCCGUAGCUGGUCUGAGAGGAUGAUCAGACACACUGGAACUGAGACACGGUCCAGACUCCUACGGGAGGCAGCAGUGGGGAAUAUUGGACAAUGGGCGCAAGCCUGAUCCAGCCAUACCGCGUGGGUGAAGAAGGCCUUCGGGUUGUAAAGCCCUUUUGUUGGGAAAGAAAAGCAGCAGGUUAAUACCCCGCUGUUCUGACGGUACCCAAAGAAUAAGCACCGGCUAACUUCGUG